rnacentral:lncRNA from 1 species
GGGGAAGGCCAGGCAGAGGCGCUCUUGGGAAGAGGGCGAGGUUCUCCGGACAGUGGGCGGGACUAGAGAGGCCACCUGCAGACACACCCUGGCUUCUCCUGGUCCCUCUUCCCUCCCUUCCCCCUCGGGGCACAGAGACGAUCCACACGUGGGGUCUCCGAGCUCUAGGGUCCUUUUACGUAGCAUAGUCAGGCCUGGGAUCAGAACGUCAUGUUCUUGCUAAAAGUCUCGGUGUGUCCUAGUUGUUUUAGAGACUUGGAGAGGAAUGGGGGUAAAAAAAAACCCCAAAACCCGAGAACUAUCGCGCCAAGAGAAGUCAGGAUUCUAGGAAGCCUAGGACGCCAAACAAAUGGAGACCAAAAAACAAGACGGGAGGACUGGAGACGAAGCAGGCAAAAAGUCAUCAGCCACGGCUGUUGUACGGUGUGUUUCACCUCUCCUACCAAGCCUUCAUCCCUGUCUAUGAGGACGAAGAAGUUACCGGGGAAAUUGGUGAUGGGCCUGGCUGUCCUGGAGAAUGCUCUUGAUUAAGUUGGUGAUAGAAAACGGGAGAACUGAAGACAAGCACUUUAUAAACUCCCUUGUCUGCUUGAAUUUGUAGUGCUGGUAAGUUCUGUAUUUUUUAAUCCAUGAGUAGCCUGUAAUUGUUACUUCUAAAACCACAGAAGUUAAAGAGGAAGCAUUAAAAAUAUUAUACAAUCUAUGGCUAGGUGUGGUUUCUGUGACUUCAAUUCCAGCACCCAGGAGUCAGAGACAGAUAGAUGGAUGUCUGAGUUCAAGGCACCCCUGGACUACAUAGUGAG